ACAUGCUUUACAGUGUUUGUUACAUCACGGGGAAAACUCGCCGUUCAUUUAUUGGUUUUUGGUGGUGAUCGCUCAAUACUUCAUGGGGGACCCUCACGCUCAUCGUUCACAUGUCGGUGCUUUACAGUGUUUGUUACAUCACGGGGAAAACUCGCCGUUCAUUUAUUGGUUUUUGGUGGUGAUCGCUCGAUACUUCAUGGGGGACCCUCCCACUCAUCGUUCACGUGUCGGUGCUUUGCGGUGUUUGUUAUAUCACAUCAAAAACUUGCCGUUCAUUUAUUGGUGUUUUGUGAUAAUCGCUCGAUACUUC